rnacentral:lncRNA from 1 species
AGCAGCUCUAGAUAAUCGCAGUGAUUUAGUGAGAGUUGUUUGACGCGCGCGGAGCACAGCGGAGCUCCCCCCCCCCCUCCAACUUGUCCGGCUGGCACACGAGGGCUCCUGUGUGACUUCUCGUGAUUUAUGCCCCGCAGGCUGAGAGCACACGACGCAGAGAUGUGGGACAGCUCUGAUCGGCGGGUUUUCGGAGGAGAGAGGAAGAUGCUGCUGCUGCCGAUGCUGAGGCUGCUGCUGCUGAGCGCCGCCGGCUGCAGCGGGUCGCUGUAGUCAGUCUGCACAGAGCGGAGGGACGCUGCUUCAACACCGCCUGUAUAGACCGGUUCACUCACGCUGACCUGGACCAUGAGCAAUGAUUUUCCUGUUCUGACAAGUCUGACCGAGAACUCCACUAAUGUGCCUGUGUCGGCGGGCCAGGUGGAGAACUAUGUGCUGCUGUUGGUGCUGCUGAGUGUUUUUGCCGGGGGGACACUGGUGCUGCUCUCCCUGCUGCUCCUCUUCUGCCACUGCUGCUGCAUGGGUGGACGACGCUACUCCAGGUGGGUGCUGAGGGACACACUGUGUGGGACAGGCAGGCCUGGUUCUACUGCAAACACAGGGAGAUUACAGCAGCCGACGCGGCUUGUGACGGCAGUGGAUUAAAGCUGUGCUGAAUAUGAAAGUGAAGCUGUGAUGUGACAUUUGUGUUUCCUGUGAAAGAGGACGAAGAGCAGUGGUGGAAUGUAAAUGAGUACAUUUACUCAAGUACUGUAGUGUACAGUGCCUAUAGAAAGUCAUCACACCCUGUGAAAAUCUUUACCUUUUGUCACAUUACACCCUGGAAAUCAAAAUGAAUGAAAUCUAACUUUUUUGAGCUGAAUGUACACAAUAUAACCCUCAUCAUCAAAGCAAAAAAUAACAUCAACAUUUUUCUGGACAAUUAUAAAAAAUCAAUUAGUGAAAUACCUGGUUUGGUUAAGUGGUCAGCCCCUUAGAGUAUACCAUUAUACACUUGCUCAGGUGCAACCAAUCAACUUCAAGAUCAAACACCGGGCUAAUUGCCCCCUACCGGACAUCCAUUGAAGUGAUUUUGAUUACUUCAGAAUCAAAACAGCU